rnacentral:rRNA from 1 species
UACGAAGGGGGCUAGCGUUGCUCGGAAUUACUGGGCGUAAAGGGCGCGUAGGCGGUGCGGUAAGUCCGCAGUGAAAUCUCUGGGCUCAACUCAGAGUCUGCUGUGGAAACUGCCGUGCUUGAGUGUGGGAGAGGUGAGUGGAAUUCCCGGUGUAGCGGUGAAAUGCGUAGAUAUCAGGAGGAACACCUGUGGUGUAGACAGCUUACUGGACCAUUUCUGACGCUGAGACACGAAAGCGUGGGUAGCAAGCAGG